AAAGACCGUGACCCCUGCCCCCCGCAGCCCCUCAGCUAGAAGGGCUGCUGGCCCCUGCUCCCCAGCCACUGGGCUCCGUGGCCCAUGGGCUCCAAGCCGCACAGCCCCCUCGGUAAGCAGCCCCGUCCAGGGUCUGGUGCUGUCCACGGGGCCAGAGUCCUGCCGGGCCAGACCCGACAGACGGGCAGGCGCUGCAUGGGAACUUGGGGCUUCCAUGCUGCUAGUCUGGGGGCAGAGGCCGUGCUCCCUGCUCUCCUGCUGUGGGACAUGAACGGGAAGGGCUCUGAGGGGCAGGGCCAGCCAGUGCCCUGUUGAGUGGUCCCACAGAGGAACCCUGCAGUUCUGAGGGGACGGGCCCUGCCAAGUGCCCCCAUUCCCAACCCAGCGGACUUGCUGGGGGCGGGGGCAGGGCAGCCUGCGAGGGCGGAUGCAGAGUCUGGGCCUGCAUAGAGGGACGGGGAGAGCGUCGGGGGGGGACGCGAAGCUGUCCUGGGAAGUCUGUGCGCACCUGCUGUGGGUGCGUGCGUGUGCACGUGUGUCCGCAUGUAUGCCCGUCUGCUGGAGGGUCGGCAUGUGGGGCCACAGCACGAGGUUCCCCGAGUCCCCACACCAGCGCCCCUGGCAAUGGGCAGGAGCAGAGGACGGAGCUGGAGGCACAGG